rnacentral:tRNA from 1 species
GCAGUGGUAGUUCAGUGGUGGAAUUAUCGCCUUCUAUGCUGGAGACCAGGGUUCAAUUCCCAGCCAAUGCA